GGUAAUGGCCCACCAAGCCGAUGAUCGGUACGGGUUGUGAGAGCAAGGGCCCGGAGAUGGAACCUGAGACAAGGUUCCAGACCCUACGGGGUGCAGCAGGCGCGAAACCUCCGCAAUGUACGAAAGUGCGACGGGGGGAUCCCAAGUGUUAUGCUUUUUUGUAUGACUUUUCAUUAGUGUAAAAAGCUUUUAGAAUAAGAGCUGGGCAAGACCGGUGCCAGCCGCCGCGGUAACACCGGCAGCUCGAGUGGUAGCUGUUUUUAUUGGGCCUAAAGCGUUCGUAGCCGGUUUGAUAAGUCUUUGGUGAAAGCUUGUAGCUUAACUAUAAGAAUUGCUGGAGAUACUAUUAGACUUGAAGUCGGGAGAGGUUAGAGGUACUACCGGGGUAGGGGUGAAAUCCUAUAAUCCUGGGAGGACCACCUGUGGCGAAGGCGUCUAACUGGAACGAUCUUGACGGUGAGUAACGAAAGCCAGGGGCGCGAACCGGAUUAGAUACCCGGGUAGUCCUGGCCGUAAACGAUGUGGACUUGGUGUUGGAAUGGCUUUGAGUUGUUCCGGUGCCGAAGGGAAGCUGUUAAGUCCACCGCCUGGGAAGUACGGUCGCAAGACUGAAACUUAA
rnacentral:rRNA from 1 species